CCUACGGGAGGCAGCAGUGGGGGAUAUUGCACAAUGGGGGAAACCCUGAUGCAGCGACGCCGCGUGGGUGAAGAAGCGCCUCGGCGCGUAAAGCCCUGUCAGCAGGGAAGAAAAUGACGGUACCUGAAGAAGAAGCCCCGGCUAACUACGUGCCAGCAGCCGCGGUAUAACGUGGGGGGCAAGCGGUAACCGGCUGUACUGGGUGUAAAGGGGGCGCAGACGGCGAUGCAAGCCAGGAGUGAAAGCCCGGGACCCAACCCCGGGACUGCUCUUGGAACUGCGUGGCGAGAGUGCAGGAGGGGCAGGCGGAAGGCCUGGUGGAGGGGUGAAAUGCGUAGAUAUCAGGAGGAACACCGGGGGCGAAGGCGACCUGCUGGACUGCAACUGACGUUGAGGCCCGAAAGCGUGGGGAGCAAACAGGAUUAGAUACCCCUGUAGUC
rnacentral:rRNA from 1 species